rnacentral:lncRNA from 1 species
CAUAGCGGUCCGGUCCAGCUGGCUCCGCGCGCACAGCCAUCUCUUGGCGCUCUGCCCCUAGAGGGCCUCCUCGCACUUCUCAUUAGUCAGAUUGCCAGUCAUACUCACAUUUUCACCAAUCGCUAGUCAGAUGGGCGGAACUCCUUUCUGGUUCAGGCCAAUCACAGCCCAGCCCUGUUGCGCGCGUAGCCCCCAACUCGCGCGAGGACGGGGACCCAAGCCGGGGACUCGCGAGGCGCCGCCCGCAGCUGGAGCGUCCUGGAAAUGCUCCAAGCACUCGUCUGCAUCUGGAUAAAUGGGUAUCAUAAGGAUCCUGGAGAUGACCGAACAUAUGUGGGUGGUGUGCACAGGUCACACGAGAACCUCGUGUCACUUUAUGUGAAGGAUGUGAGGACCUGUGGGUCCUUGGGGCCCUGGAGCUGAUCCCUCAUGGAUCCUAAGGAACAACUACGUAUGCACUCAGGAUCUUGCUAUGUUUUCCAGGCUUAUUUUGGCUUCAAGCGAAUCCUCCUCCUGAGUAGCUGGACUGCAGGUGUACUCUGCCCCACCUGUCUGGGAUAACACAUAACCCCACUCUUUGCGGAUUGAACCCAGGGCCUAUAAACUAUGAGCUCAUCUACAGCUCUUUUGAUAAAUUUUAAUUUUGACACAGGGCCUCUUUAAGUAGCUAAAAGGACCAGGCUGGGCAUGAACUUGCAAUCCUCCUACUUCCCCCUGCCAGAAUGCUGGAAUUAGAGGUGUGCACCACCACAUCAGGCUUGGGAUAACUUUUCAUCUACAUGGACAUGCAUGUUGAGUGUCUGGCAUGGUGUGGGGCACGUGCCGAUGUCCCUGCCCGACUGUUCCUGGAAGGUGGCAGGUCCCACACACCCUAGGGCUCCUCUGAGGCCAGGCUCUGCCCUGGGCAGCAUCAUGGUCACAGCCUACAGGAAGGGAUCUUUCAUAGCCCAAAU